UAAGGAAUAUUGGUCAAUGGACGGAAGUCUGAACCAGCCAUCCCGCGUGCAGGAAGAAGGUCCUAUGGAUUGUAAACUGCUUUUAGCAGAGACGAAGACCUUUCAUUUAUGAGAGAGUGACGGUAUCUGCGGAAUAAGCACCGGCUAACUCCGUGCCAGCAGCCGCGGUAAUACGGAGGGUGCAAGCGUUAUCCGGAAUCACUGGGUUUAAAGGGUGCGUAGGCGGGGGAUUAAGUCAGUGGUGAAAGCCUGUAGCUUAACUACAGAAUUGCCAUUGAUACUGAUUUUCUUGAAUUGGGUUGAGGUUAGCGGAAUGUGACAUGUAACGGUGAAAUGUUUAGAUAUGUCAUGGAACACCGAUUGCGAAGGCAGCUAGCUGGGCCUUGAUUGACGCUGAGGCACGAAAGCGUGGGUAGCGAACAGG
rnacentral:rRNA from 1 species